CCUGAGAAACGGCUACCACAUCCAAGGAAGGCAGCAGGCGCGCAAAUUACCCACUCCCAGAACGGGGAGGUAGUGACGAAAAAUAACGAUACGGGACUCUUUUGAGACCCCGUAAUUGGAAUGAGUACACUCUAAAUCCUUUAACGAGGAUCUAUUCGAGGGCAAGUCUGGUGCCAGCCGCCGCGGUAAUUCCAGCUCGAAUAGCGWAUAUWAAAGUUGUUGCGGUUAAAAAGCUCGWAGUUGGAUCUSAGUUCCGGACGGGUGGUCUVCCAAACGGUGGUUACUGCCCGUUCUGAACAGCCCGCCGGUUUCUCUUGAUGAUCUUCACCGGUUGUCUCGGGUGACCGGCAAGUUUACUUUGAAAAAAUUAGAGUGCUCAAAGCAGGCGYGAGGCCUGAAUAAUGGUGCAUGGAAUAAUGRAAUAGGACCUCGGUUCUAUUUUGUUGGUUUUCGGAACCCGAGGUAAUGAUUAARAGGGACAGACGGGGGCAUUCGUAUUGCGACGCUARAG
rnacentral:rRNA from 1 species